CAUCGGUAGACCGUGUUGCAAACAGGCCUUUUGACCCGUCGCCUCCAGGCAGCGAGUAGUUUCCGAAGGCGAGAUUGUAAAUCACUUUUCCACUGACUGCCUGACGCGGCUGGUCAACCAUCUCCCAACCUUCCUGAACAGCAUCAAACGCCUGGACAGGCUCAGACCAGCUCAAACUACCGUCACCAGAUUGGGUUACAUAGAUGCCACGAUUCUCAUUCAAAGGGAUCGCAUAAGCCACAUGGAUCGUUCCAUCCACAUCCACCACAAUAUCCGGCGAGCUUCCAGCCUGGCGAACCGAGGGUAACACGAGCGGUUCGACCCAUUCUGUGGAGCUAUUUGCCCGCGCUCCUGUUGCUCGGCUAAAGUAAAUCUCCCCUGCCUCACCGCCGCUCCAAACCACAUACAGAUUAUCGUUGGUGUCGAUUGCUGCUGAGGGCUGGCGAGUCAUCCCGCUGGG
rnacentral:rRNA from 1 species